rnacentral:rRNA from 1 species
AGAGUUUGAUCCUGGCUCAGGACGAACGCUGGCGGCGUGCUUAACACAUGCAAGUCGAACGGAAAGGCCCUUUCGGGGGUACUCGAGUGGCGAACGGGUGAGUAACACGUGGGUGAUCUGCCCUGCACUUCGGGAUAAGCUUGGGAAACUGGGUCUAAUACCGGAUAGGACCAUGCCAUGCAUGUGGUGUGGUGGAAAGCUUUUGCGGUGUGGGAUGGGCCCGCGGCCUAUCAGCUUGUUGGUGGGGUGAUGGCCUACCAAGGCGACGACGGGUAGCCGGCCUGAGAGGGUGACCGGCCACACUGGGACUGAGAUACGGCCCAGACUCCUACGGGAGGCAGCAGUGGGGAAUAUUGCACAAUGGGCGCAAGCCUGAUGCAGCGACGCCGCGUGAGGGAUGACGGCCUUCGGGUUGUAAACCUCUUUCAGUAGGGACGAAGCGAAAGUGACGGUACCUACAGAAGAAGGACCGGCCAACUACGUGCCAGCAGCCGCGGUAAUACGUAGGGUCCGAGCGUUGUCCGGAAUUACUGGGCGUAAAGAGCUCGUAGGUGGUUUGUCGCGUUGUUCGUGAAAACUCACAGCUUAACUGUGGGCGUGCGGGCGAUACGGGCAGACUAGAGUACUGCAGGGGAGACUGGAAUUCCUGGUGUAGCGGUGGAAUGCGCAGAUAUCAGGAGGAACACCGGUGGCGAAGGCGGGUCUCUGGGCAGUAACUGACGCUGAGGAGCGAAAGCGUGGGUAGCGAACAGGAUUAGAUACCCUGGUAGUCC